UCCCUGGUUGUCUAGUGGUAAGGAUUCGGCGCUCUCGCGGCCCGGGUUCGAUUCCCGGUCAGGGAA